GAAAUGCGAUAAGUAGUGUGAAUUGCAGAAUUCCGUGAAUCAUCGAAUCUUUGAACGCACAUUGCGCCCCCUGGCAUUCCGGGGGGCAUGCCUGUCCGAGCGUCAUUUCUGCCCUCAAGCACGGCUUGUGUGUUGGGUGUGGUCCCCCCGGGGACCUGCCCGAAAGGCAGCGGCGACGUCCGUCUGGUCCUCGAGCGUAUGGGGCUCUGUCACUCGCUCGGGAAGGACCUGCGGGGGUUGGUCACCACCAUAUUUCACCACGGUUGACCUCGGAUCAGGUAGGAGUUACCCGCUGAACUUAAGC
rnacentral:misc_RNA from 1 species